rnacentral:rRNA from 1 species
CGCAGCCGCGGUAAUUCCAGCUCCAAUAGCGUAUAUUAAAGUUGUUGCAGUUAAAAAGCUCGUAGUUGAAUUUCGGGAUCAAAGGAUCGGUCAUGCCUUGGUAUGUACUGGUUUUAUUGGUUCUCACCUUCUAAAGAACCAUAAUGUCAUUCAUUUGAUGUUAUGGGGAAUUAGGGACUGUUACCUUGAAAAAAUUUAGAGUAGUUUAAAGCAGGCUUACGCUUGAAUACAUUAGCAUGGAAUAAUGAAAUAGGACAUCAGAUUCUAUUUUGUUGGUUUCUAGGUAUCGAUGUAAUGAUUAAUAGGGAUAGUUGGGGGCAUUAGUAUUCAAUUGUCAGAGGUGAAAUUCUUGGAUUUAUUGAAGACUAACUACUGCGAAAGCAUUUGCCAAGGAUGUUUCAUUAAUCAAGAACGAAAGUUAGGGAUCGAAGACGAUCAGAUACCGUCGUAGUCUUAACCAUAAACCUAUACGCCGACUAGGGAUCCGGAUGAUGUUAAUUUUAGUAAUUGACUCAUUCGG